AGGUCCCGCUGAAGCCUCCAAAGAAGAAGUCACAGAGGAGUCUGGACAAGAAGAAGAUAAAAGGAUGAACUAUGGUGGUGUGUAUGUGGGACUGCCUGCAGACCUGAGCACUAUGCCUCCUAUCCAGAUCGGAACCCACAAAGAUGAGUGAAGCAUCAUUGAAACACCUUUCACUAAAGGUACAAUGUCAAUAGCCCCGAUCUCAAUAUCAAAUGUCAAUAUCCUAUGUUAAACUCUCUGCCUCAAUCUCAGAAUUUCAUAUUUUGGGACUCCCACUCUAGAGAGAGAGAGAGAGAAAGAGACAGAGAGAACCCUCAGGAUAAUGAUGAUGUCAGCAAGAAUGAAGGAAUGAAUUGUUCCCCUCUUUGAUCUCUGAUUGGCUCCAUGGGACCCAGUAGAACCCCUGGGGGACCAAUCAUCUCCCUCUCUCCCUCCAUAGGAACUGAGCUGGGAUCAGUUUCCAAGGUGAAUGAUCAGACAAUGGAUGUGACUGUUCUGGAAUCAGCGUCAUGUUUAAUAGGCACGAAAUGGAAGAAAACAAUCCAAAACCAAGUGAACUACUUUCAUUUGCGUUGCACAACAUUUUAAAACAGGCACACUAAUGAACACGACCCAGGUCAAAGGGCAUCAAGGAUGUUUGAGUCUGCAUUUACUACUCAGGACCAAGAGACAAGACAACCUUCUGCUCAGAACUAAAUGUCAUACUGGAUCAGAUAGGCCUAUUCAGAUCUCAGCAAUACCAGGAAACAAGACAACACCUCUCUCAGACCUCCUAUUCAAAUAGUUAUUGACCUUCUCUCUCAGACUCCUAGUCUCUCUAUAGGAGCUGGAUCAGGAGGCGAGGACCGAACAGAGACAAGUGAAGUUUCAGUUUGAAAAAUGUUCCCCAUUGUUAUUGUAUCAUUGAUUGAAUGGAGAAUUAUCUUUCUUCAUUCAAUAUGUAGGCAUAUGUAUUUGGAGCAUCCAUGUUUUAUUUUCUUGAAUGCAUUCCAACAUGUUAACUUUUUUCAAAAGCUAGUUUCCACAGUCUUAAAUAAAUCUCAAAUAAAUGAAUUGUGUGUGAGUGUGCGUGUCUUCAGAAACAUAUGAUUUCUGUCCGUGUGCGUUCAUGUGUGUGUGCGUCUGUGUCUGUGUGUUCAAUAGUUGCCUGUGUUUUGUUCUGUGUGUAAUUGAAAGGCCUAUUUCUCACCAUUCAUCUCCUCAGUAUGACCAGCCUACACUUCAUGUACAAUCUUCUUGCUAUGUGCUGCUGAGAUUUUUCAAAUGACUAUAGACUACUUUUAGAUCGACUCCUUGGAGACUGUAACUAUCGACUCCUUGGCGACCGUAACUAGGCUAGCUCUCCGCUGACACACUGAUUCACCACGUUACACACUCUGACACACUUCUGUUCUGUUCUGAUGUCGUUCUGUGGGCCACUAAUUGCAGUCCAACCACUUUAAAUUCACAGAGAGAACUCUGAGAGAGCUUUUUGAGGCAUCAAACUAAAAGGCAUCAAGCUGACAUUUCAGAGACACAACUCUGACUGUGUGUUAAAUGAAACUACAUGCACAGACUGUUGUUUCCCCUUAUUCUUGAGUGUAGAUACCUAUGUAACAUUAGCAACCUACUGUAGGUUGACAGUAUGGAAAAAUACAUGAUGAAUAUGUUAUUGCGAAAGAUUAUGAAAUUAUGAUUCUGUGUACAUGUGCGAAUGUGUGACACAACAGAUGUCAAUCACCUACAGUACAAACAGCAUCCAUAAUCUCUUACUGUGCUUGUUCUCAAUCAGAUCCUUGUGGUUCAUCACAUCAAUAAGCUAGCUAAAACUCAAUGGUCUGGUUAUCAGUCAAUCAUCUUAAUCAGUUAAUCAGCUUUCAGUUUACAGUAACAUGGUUCAGGCCUUAUUGAAUUGACCUGCCCUGUGGACUGGUUGGACUGUGGUUGCAUCCCAAAAUGGCACACCUUUCCCAAUAUUGUGCUUUUGACCAGGGGCGGUAAAAAGUAUUGAAUUAUGUAGGGAAUAUGGGUGCCAUUUUGGACGGAACCUGUGUCUUGUGUACAGUUAUAGAGGGCUGACCAGGAAGUAGGAAGUAGUUGGUGUUUUCAAAGGAGAUGCCUGGUUUCUCAUGACUUAAUUUCCUUUGUGUUGUGUGUCAGUCACCUCUCAGUAACACUGGCUAAUGCAGGAACACCGGAUAAUCAAGAACUCUGUUGUCACCCUAUAACACACAGAAUACACAGUCUCUAUGGUACCAUCUCAUCUGUGCGUGUUUGUGUGUGCGUGUGUGUGCGUGUCUGUGAGUGUGUGUGUGUGUGCGUGCGUGAGCGUCCAUCAUAAACCUCUUUGUCUUUACAGUCUGGGCUCCAUUAACGCUCGUUGUCCAGAUUAUGUUGUAAUAUGAUGUCAAAUAAACCAAUGAGAUGGGCUGA